rnacentral:rRNA from 1 species
GACGAACGCUGGCGGCGUGCUUAACACAUGCAAGUCGAACGGAAAGGCCUCUUUCGGGGGGUACUCGAGUGGCGAACGGGUGAGUAACACGUGAGUAACCUGCCCUUGACUUUGGGAUAACUUCAGGAAACAGGGGCUAAUACCGGAUAGGAGCUCUUGUGGCAUGGUGGGGGUUGGAAAGUUUCGGCGGGUGGGGAUGGACUCGCGGCUUAUCAGCUUUUUUGUGGGGUAGUGGCUUACCAAGGCUUUGACGGGUAGCCGGCCUGGGAGGGUGACCGGCCACAUUGGGACUGAGAUACGGCCCAGACUCCUACGGGAGGCAGCAGUGGGGAAUAUUGCACCAUGGGUGGAAGCCUGAUGCAGCAACGCCGUGUGCGGGAUGACGGCCUUCGGGUUGGAAACCGCUUUCGCUCAUGACGAAGCUUUGUGUGACGGUAGUGGGUAAAGAAGCACCGGCUAACUACGUG